AACGAACGCUGGCGGCAGGCUUAACACAUGCAAGUCGAGCGCCCCGCAAGGGGAGCGGCAGACGGGUGAGUAACGCGUGGGAAUCUACCCAUCUCUACGGAAUAACGCAUGGAAACGUGUGCUAAUACCGUAUACGUCCUUCGGGAGAAAGAUUUAUCGGAGAUGGAUGAGCCCGCGUUGGAUUAGCUAGUUGGUGGGGUAAAGGCCUACCAAGGCGACGAUCCAUAGCUGGUCUGAGAGGAUGAUCAGGCACACUGAGACUGAGACACGGCCCAGACUCCUACGGGAGGCAGCAGUGGGGAAUAUUGGACAAUGGGCGCAAGCCUGAUCCAGCCAUGCCGCGUGAGUGAUGAAGGCCCUAGGGUUGUAAAGCUCUUUCACCGGUGAAGAUAAUGACGGUAACCGGAGAAGAAGCCCCGGCUAACUUCGUGCCAGCCGCCGCAGUAAAAC
rnacentral:rRNA from 1 species